rnacentral:rRNA from 1 species
UACGUAGGGUGCGAGCGUUAAUCGGAAUUACUGGGCGUAAAGCGUGCGCAGGCGGUUCGUUAAGUUCGAUGUGAAAGCCCCGGGCUUAACCUGGGAAUGGCAUUUGGGACUGCAAGGCUGGAGUACGGCAGAGGGAGGUGGAAUUCCAGGUGUAGCAGUGAAAUGCGCAGAUAUCAGGAGGAACACCGGUGGCGAAGGCGGGUCUCUGGGCCGAUACUGACGCUGAGGAGCGAAAGCGUGGGGAGCGAACAGG